AAAUCUGCUGGAGGGGAAACUGAGAGAACGGAAUUAAACAAAGAAGAAGAAGAAUUGAGGCCUCCAACGCCACAAAGUCCUGCUCAUUCAGGAGGAGUCCAGCCAGAGGAGGAGAUGGAAACGGGCACUGAAGCAGCUUCAGCUGAACAGCAGCUGCAGCCUGAAGGUUCUGACAGUCAGAACCUGGAUGGAGGCUCCAAAGAAGACAAAGAACAAACCACAGCUGACCUAAAAGAUCAGACUCCAAAUGCUGAGGAGGAGAAGAUGGAGGAGAAGGAAAACAAAAGGAAACAAACCAGAAAAAGAGGCCGAACCAGGAGAAAAACCAGAAACACAACCGGUAGCAGAGCUCACAAGCAGCUGCACAAGUGAUGUUUAAUGCUAAAAAUAAAAAAAGAUUCACCACUAUUGUGUCUUGUUUGCAGUAAGCACUGCUGCAGUAGAAAAGACUGAGGAGACUAAAGACAGAAGUGAAGAAGAAGAAGAAGAAGAAGAAGAAUCACAGCCUCUGGAGCCGCUGGAUUCCUCCUCAGCUCUGAACACAGACACGUCGGCUUUAUCAACAGAGAUCCAGGAGGAGGAAAAAGAUGCUGACGCUGCUUUAACUGAACAGCAGCAUGAAGGUCCUGACAGUCAGAACCUGGAUGGACGCUCCAAAGAAGAAGAAGGACAAACCACAGCCCACCUAAAAGGUUUGGGAUUUGUCAAAAGCCAGAGUAAGAACCUUGUUGAACCUGUGAGGAAGCGAACCCGCCGGUCUCUUUGUGGCGCUGAUGAUUACAACCUGCCACCAUUCAGCCCAGACGUCUCCUUUGGUAAGGAGUUUACGGUCCGUAAACUGGGAUAUUUCUGUUCCCUCUGCUCUGUUUUCUACCUGCUUGAGAACGCUGAAGAGGAAGAGCACUGCUGCAGCAAAACGCAUUACGAGAACCUGCUGAGGCAUUACCAGAUGGAAGCAGAGCAACCUUCACCACCUCCAAGAAGGAAGACCAGAAGCUCCCGCUGAUCCUGAUUUAACUGGACGUGUUUUACUGCAAAAACGGAGGAGUCAAACUUUAGUUUCCAUCGCUUAAAUUGUACUCUAACUGAAGUGUGAAACUUUGAGGGAAAAAAUAGGAUAAAAGAGCACAUACAAUACCAUAUAUUAGUUUUUUACAGAAAAAAAAUUUAAUUGUGGGGAGCUUUGAUGUCCCAAAAAUUCUUCAACACAAUUUUUUCUGUGUUUAAUCUUUCAAAACCAUUUGUCAGACCUCUUAGACUAACGCUUGCUUAAAACUCCAAUGAAGAAGCAGCUGGGGUCUCACAGUCUGCUCUGAUUGGUCGGCUUCCUCUCAGCCUCUGAAACUUGUUUUAGAGUUAAAAAGGUUUUAGGGAACUACUCAAUGUUGAUUUAAACUGGAUGUAACUAACGCCAGGAUGAAUAUUUCACAUUGGCUGUUUUUAUAUACGAUGUGGGCGGAGUUAAAUACGAACUAUGUAAAGACAGACAGGCGAUUAGGGCUGAUUCUGAAUAUUGUAGUGAUUUCCUCUUUUGCAUUAGUCAGGCUUCCAUUGCUCGGCCACGAGUGGUAGAAAAUCUAGCCACUGGUUUUAACUAGAGCUGUCGGAUUAAUCAUGAUUGAUCGUUUAUUGAAAUAAUCGUCAACUAAUUUAGUAAUGGAUUGAUUAUUAAAUGGAAUAUAGAGACUCUAAAACAUUCCUUUAGCUGACAGAGAAACCCACUUAGAGCAGUAAUCUUUUUUUUUUUUUGUUUAACUGUCAUUACACUGUCACAAGUACAGAGAAACGAAAUCAACUCUCUGAAACGAAAAUCAGCUGUAAUUUGUAUUCCUUGAUUCAUUGAAUUAAAAAAACAAAAAGGAAUAAAAGGUUUUA